rnacentral:lncRNA from 1 species
GGUCGAUCCCACGGGAGCGCAUCAGCGACUGCUCGCGCCAUCCACUAGACCUGGGUCUGAAUACUAUACUCACACUGUGCGUCCUUGUGGCUGGAGAAGGGGUGAAGGGCCCGGGCCUCCAGCAGUUCCAGGGACUGUGGUAGAGGGGUUCCCCGCGCCUCCCCAAGCCCAGGCCGCUUACCGGUCUUUGCACCGUGGGCACAGGGCAGGUCGGCCUUGGGUUCCCCUCCGCACGCGCAGCGACCCCGGGCUGUCUGCAGAGUGUAAGAAGUUGGGCCGACCUGGGUAGGGCUUGCACCUGCGUGACUCAGAGUCCUGGCCAGACCUGCUAAUCCGUGAUUCUGGGCCUGGGCUCCGAGGUUUGAGCCGCUUCCCUGGAAUCCCUGCGCUGCCCUAACCUGUUGGGGACCUGUGGCAAGUAGGGAGGAGGCCAAAGCAGCCAGAUCCUUGCGGGACCGGCGGGCACCCCGUUCAUCAAGGGAAUUGCCACACCCCAACUCCCGGCUGAGCGCGCCCCUGUGGAGGGAGCAGCUGAGAGGCAGCCCCUGGGCUGGAGGCCUCACAACACACACCUGUACAUGCUCCUUAUCACAGGUGCUAAUCGGAGCUUCAGCCCUGCCCUGGGGAUCUGCAGGUGAAUUAUAGGAGAUCACUGGGCGGCGUCCUGGUUCCUGCUUGGUCCCUGAAUAUCCUCAACCCAGCAAACCCCAGGUACCUGGGGUUGAGUCACCUGUAGGUUUGAACUUUUCUCCGUGGUUUGCCAAAUCCCUCAAUUUCCCUCCAGACCUUAUCCUUCUGACCCCUUAAGCUUGAAGCGCUUGUGUCCCCAUAUUCAAACCCACGGCAUAACCAGCAUCCGCCACUUCUUCCCACCAUCUUGUGUUCACACCUUGGCCAGACCACAAGCAUCUCCUUCAUUCACACGGCUGGAGCAUCAGUCUGCCCACAGCCUGCCUUUGGCCAUGACAGUUCUGGGCUACAACUUGAACCAGGACCCAACCCCUGCCACACUGGCUUGGCCUGUGUACAGGGUAAAAGGCUCCAUGGACACCAAAUGACUCCCUCUUCCCAGACACACCUGGAGCAGCUCCCUUUGCCUGGAAGGACCUCACAGUUUCCGUGGACCGAUCACCUCACUGCCUUUCCUGCAUGACCGUCCUGCCCCUGGGGCCACACUCAGCAGCUCAGCAUCUUGGCUCUCUCCUCUUCCUCCCAACUCC